UGGCAUGUAUUUUAUCAUACUGUAUACAGACUUUCAGACAUGUAGAGCAAAGUAUGUUUUGACUUGAUUUGUGCAUAUAUCAUGAUGUCUUGUUCUUCACACAGAAGGCCCUGACUCACACAUAAAGACCAAAGACAAGAGAUCAUCAAAGACUGAGAGAAAUGAAUUGUGCAGAACCCAGAAAGAAAGACCUGAGCCAGACGAGCCUUAUGAUUCCAACUCAGAUGAAGGCCCUGACUCACACAUAAAGACCAAAGACAAGAGAUCAUCAAAGACUGAGAGAAAUGAAUUGUGCAGAACCCAGACCUGAGCCAGACGAGCCUUAUGAUUCCAACUCAGAUGAAGACCCUGCUCACACAUAAAGACCCAAGACAAGAGAUCAUCAAAGACUGAGAGAAAUGGUUCUCCUAGGCAGAAGAGUGGAAAAAGCCCCUGGAGUGAUGCUGAAAAAAAGGCAGUUUAUCGGCAUCUUGAAAACACGAUCAUGUUAAUGAAAGUUCCCAGCAAAGACAAGUGUACCAAAAGAAAGAACCAGUGCUACAAAACAGGGACUGGAGAGAUAUUAAAAAUCAUGUGCACAAUACCAUUCAAUCUUGAAAGAAAAAAAGUUGAUUAACUUUUUGUGUGUAAAACAUGUUUUUUUAUGCUUAAAGAGAUAGUUUAUUCAAAAUUGAAAAUAAGUAUGAGUAAUUUGACAUCUUAAAUUUUUGGGUAAUUUUUUUUACUGUUUAGGAGCCCGUUUGUUUGGAAAUAGGCUUAUUCUCCCACUCCCCCACUUUUGGAAUCUAUUCAGUCGAUCUCCGGGUCUGGCGAUAACACUUUUAGCAUACAUCAUUCAAUCUAAUUAGACCAUUAACAUCACAUGUAACCUGGAGAUUGGCUGAAUAGAUUUAAAAAAGGUUAAACUUAACUUAUAACUGCGGGGAAGUUGGAAAACAAGCACAUUUCCAAAUAAAGGGAAGUGUUGGCCUUGUAAGCCAUUGAUAUAUA